AUGGGGCGACUCGGUGCUCUGGUUCGGAUGCACCCAAAAUCACUACAGUGGGUGGUGGACGAGUGCGACUCCGUCCACGGUUGUGAUGCCGAGCACAACUACGAGGAGCCAUGCGCCUACAACGUCGUGGACACCUCGCUGGCGGUGUGGGAUGCCCCGGGCCUCGACCAGAACAUCGGUUUGCAGGAUGUUACCUGGUCUGACGAGUGA
rnacentral:rRNA from 1 species